AGCAGCCGCGGUAAUUCCAGCUCCAAUAGCGUAUAUUAAAGUUGUUGCAGUUAAAAAGCUCGUAGUUGAAUUUCGGGAUCAGUACGCUGGUCGUGCCUUGGUAUGUACUGGUGUUACUGGUUCCUACCUUCUGACGAACCGUCAUGUCAUUAAUUUGGUGUGGCGGGAAAUCAGGACUGUUACUUUGAAAAAAUUAGAGUGUUUAAAGCAGGCUCGCGCUUGAAUACAUUAGCAUGG
rnacentral:rRNA from 1 species